rnacentral:rRNA from 1 species
AACGAACGCUGGCGGCAGGCUUAACACAUGCAAGUCGAACGCCCCGCAAGGGGAGUGGCAGACGGGUGAGUAACGCGUGGGAACAUACCCUUUCCUGCGGAAUAGCUUCGGGAAACUGGAAUUAAUACCGCAUACGCCCUACGGGGGAAAGAGUUAUCGGGGAAGGAUUGGCCCGCGUUGGAUUAGCUAGUUGGUGGGGUAAAGGCCUACCAAGGCGACGAUCCAUAGCUGGUCUGAGAGGAUGAUCAGCCACAUUGGGACUGGGACACGGCCCAAACUCCUACGGGAGGCAGCAGUGGGGAAUAUUGGACAAUGGGCGCAAGCCUGAUCCAGCCAUGCCGCGUGAGUGAUGAAGGCCUUAGGGUUGUAAAGCUCUUUCACCGAUGAAGAUAAUGACGGUAGUCGGAGAAGAAGCCCCGGCUAACUUCGUG